CAGAUUGCAUACUCUACAUAUCAGAGACUGCUUGGCGUACGACUGGCUAUGGUCACCACUACUUCCGGGUUCCGUCAUUCUCCCGCCGCCGCCGCCGCUCAGCGUUACCAGCGCAUUAUUACUGACAGCACAUUCACUGUUAAGAUAGCGGUCCCAGGCCAGACGGAGGAUCAUCAUUCAUUCAAUACCUUGACAACCCUGCUUUGAUUGACAGCUGGAGUGGCAAAAAAACCAUGAGAGGCGACAGUUUUGUUACAAGCGGGCUGUUGACGGGCCGAUAGUAACCUUCAGUCAAUUUUCCUUUUUGGCUUGACAAUUUUUUUCGCUUCUUCUGGAAAGAAAAAGAGGGGGAGAGAGAAAGAGAGAGAGAGAGAGA